rnacentral:misc_RNA from 1 species
UGGAUCUAAGUUUUCUCACUCUGCAUUAUAAUGGAUCUAAGUUUUUUUCACUUAGCAUUAUAAGCUUUAAAUUGGGUGUUUUGAGUUGGUCUAUUUAGCAUUAUAAGAUUUAGUGUAACUUUUUUCCUCUUAAGUUUAUACUGAUUAUAUUAAUUUUAAUAAGAUAAUGAAUUAUCCAAGAAAAAUUCAACAACAAUUUAUCCUGAGCUAAAGAAAUAGUAAACUCAAGAGCUUUUAUAUGCUAAAGAAAUAAUCUUGCUGCUAUUUUGGAUUGAAUGCAUGUUAAGCUAGUUGUGUUUUUGAGGAGCAGUGGUGGAUAUAAGGGAAGUUAUGCUCCCAAACACUUGUCAGAGAUUUUUAAUUGGUGGAUAAGGAAAAAAGAAGGAACAAUAAAAACUCUUUGACUCUUAAAAACUACUAAUUAGUAAAAAUUUUCAAAUUCGGAUUUGAUGCUACGGGUGGUCCUUGGGUCUUGGUCCUGAUGACACGUAAGCCUGCAAUAAGAGAGAAAGAUUGGGUGGAUGAUUUUCUGGCAGGUCAUUCCGAUGCUCA